GACAGAGGAGGCGAGCGUUAUCCGGAGUUAUUGGGCGUAAAGGGUACGCAGGCGGCUGGUCAAGUCUGGGGCUAAAGACCACAGCUUAACUGUGGGGGGGCCUAGGAAACCGACCGGCUUGAGUGGGUCAGUGGUCGCGGGUAUUCCCGGUGUAGCGGUGAAAUGCGUAGAUAUCGGGAAGGACACCUGAGGCGAACGCGCGCACCUGGGCCCUAACUGACGCUGAGGUUCGAAAGGUAGGUUAGGGAUUGGU
rnacentral:rRNA from 1 species